rnacentral:rRNA from 1 species
UACGAAGGGUGCAAGCGUUACUCGGAAUUACUGGCGUAAAGCGUGCGUAGGUGGUGCGUUAAGUCUGUCGUGAAAGCCCCGGGCUCAACCUGGGAAUGGCGAUGGAUACUGGCGCGCUAGAGUGCGGUAGAGGAGAGUGGAAUUCCCGGUGUAGCAGUGAAAUGCGUAGAGAUCGGGAGGAACAUCAGUUGCGAAGGCGGCUCUCUGGACCAGCACUGACACUGAGGCACGAAAGCGUGGGGAGCAAACAGG